rnacentral:rRNA from 1 species
AUGUCGGUCAUCAUCGGAGCUCUCCUUCAUAACGUGCAAAACAUCACCGCCGCCGUUGUUGGACGCCGCAGCCACUGCCUCCGUCAUGUCGAUGCCCCUCAGGCCGCCGACCGGGUACAAAUCGAUGCACUCCCACAUGCCAGUCCCUGGCACACGGUGAAGCAGGCCAGGGACAAGCUCGUAGUCGAUGAAAUCCUUCGUCUUGUAGGUCAUAACCAUACCGGCAUGGUGGUCAUCCUUGGAGCCGAUGACGAGCCGCCACGUGUCGUCGGAACCGUCAAACCACGCAGUGGUUGGGUCCCUGAAGUCCUUCUCCCCGACGCCCGGUGGCGGGUACAUCACCGGGUUGUUCUCAUACUUGGUCCAGUUGAUGAGCAAAGGGUCGGAGGGGUCGGUGGGGAAAGCCAGGCAUUGGACCUGGACCGAUGCGUUGGUGGAGCCGGUGUAGAGCAUCACGAUGCGGCCGUCGGGGAGGACGGUGGCGGAACCCGACCAGACGCCAUUGAUGUCGUACCAUUGGUCAGGGGACAUUGCCACGGGGAGGUGGCGCCACCGGAGAAGGUCGCGGGAGGCGGCGUGACCCCAGGCGAUCUUGUUGCCCCAGAUGGCGCCGUCCGGGUUGUACUGGUAAAAGAGGUGGUACCACCCCUUGUAGUACACGGGACCUGCACUUGCAUUUUGCAUCAAAGAAUGAGUUUUGCAUCAACAAGAUUACUGCAACAAGUAUCCAUGGAAGAAAUGUUACGUACCGUUGGGGUCGUUCAUCCAGUUCUUCUCGGGCUGGAAGUGAAAGCCUGUGCGCUGCCACUGGAGCAUGGCAUUGCUCCACGGGAACGCGUUGCCGCUGGCAUCCGCGCCCAGCAUGCCGCCGUGCGCGGCGGCGCCAGACGUCUUCUCCGAGACGCCAGACUCAGGCCCCCGGCUGCUGGUGCUCAUCAUCGCCGCGUCGACCGUCGUCUGGUCGCCAGACAUGACGACGAUGCCAUCGGCGGGAAGCUGGCCGGCUAG